AGGUGUUUUGGGACUACAAGUCCCAUCAUCCCUAUCUAAAAGGACCACUGGUCAGGGGUGAUGGGAGUUGUAGUCCCAAAACAUCU